UACGGAGGGGGUUAGCGUUGUUCGGAAUUACUGGGCGUAAAGCGCGCGUAGGCGGAUUAGAAAGUUGGGGGUGAAAUCCCGGGGCUCAACCUCGGAACUGCCUCCAAAACUGCUAGUCUAGAGUUCGAGAGAGGUGAGUGGAAUUCCGAGUGUAGAGGUGAAGUUCGUAGAUAUUCGGAGGAACACCAGUGGCGAAGGCGGCUCACUGGCUCGAUACUGACGCUGAGGUGCGAAAGUGUGGGGAGCAAACAGG
rnacentral:rRNA from 1 species